AAUUACCUCCCACUGGAUCCCUCCAUGACACAUGGGAAUUAUAGGAGCUACAAGUCAAGAUGAGAUUUGGCUGGGGACACAGCCAAACCAUAUCAUGCAGUCAUUAUUAUUACGCUUCUCCUCUUUAAGUUUGAGCAUGCUGAUUCCCUUGAUGGAAAUAUCUUGUCCCUCCUUUUCCCAGCUGGCUCCUCUCACUGCCCUAGUGGGUACAGUUCAGAUGCUUCUCUCCCUCAGGAAGUGUCUCCUGAUUGUCUCAGAAGGCAUGGAAUCCUCCCUGGAAGGCCUCUUCAAGCCUUUAUCAGAAUGCUUUCUCAUAAUGAACUGUGGUCAUUGCCUUCCUCAGCCACCUCCCCACUCCGUGGGAGCCCCUUCAAGGCCUGGCUUUUUGGCAAUGCCUUGGAGCAGGAGUGCUUCAACAUCUGGAAGAGGGUUUUGGCUUUCAUGUCUGGAGUGACACAUAUUCUGGCUUCAUGGAACACUUUGCAUUCUUUGCUACCCAUCCUGCACUGUCCUAGCACCAGUCUGGGUCGAGAACUAGCCAAGAGUAAUCAGAGUGGAAAGAAAGCUUAGCGUAGAAACACGGAAAGGAAUUAACAAAUUGUACUUACCACGAUGGGGAGGUGAAGGAGUCAGAAUAACAAAACUAAUUCAUGUUAUAAAUCUAAGUUUUAAAAACAACAUUUGUUUCUUCUUGCCCUGAUUAUAAAACAAUAGCCCAUGUUUAUGAUAAUGGCUUUGGAAUUACUCCCCCAAAGGUAGCUGGUAUGGAAGAUUUUAUAAGACAGUUUUUUUUUCAAAUUUACUAUGAAAAGUGAGUUCACAUCCUAUACAAAGAUAUAUAGAAUUUGGAUGAAAAUAUUCAAUAUUCUUUAUAAUAAUGAUAGCUAACAUUUAUUGAGUGCUUACCAAAUGUCAGCUACUGUUCUAAGCUUUUUACCUAUGUUAGCUCUUGUCAUUCCUCCAAUAGUCCUGUGAGAUAAUUGCUAUUAUUAUCCUUCUUUUACAGGUGAAGUGAAGUGGGUGUGCCUGGGAUCACACACAGCUGGUGAGUGGUAGAGCCAAGUUUCAAAUCCAUGCAGCCUGGCU
rnacentral:lncRNA from 1 species